rnacentral:rRNA from 1 species
ACGCUGGCGGCAGGCCUAACCAUGCAAGUCGAGCGCGCCCUUCGGGGUGAGCGGCGGACGGGUUAGUAACGCGUGGGAACGUACCCAGAUCUAAGGAAUAGCCACUGGAAACGGUGAGUAAUACCUUAUACGCCCUUCGGGGGAAAGAUUUAUCGGAUUUGGAUCGGCCCGCGUUAGAUUAGAUAGUUGGUGGGGUAAUGGCCUACCAAGUCUACGAUCUAUAGCUGGUUUUAGAGGAUGAUCAGCAACACUGGGACUGAGACACGGCCCAGACUCCUACGGGAGGCAGCAGUGGGGAAUCUUAGACAAUGGGCGCAAGCCUGAUCUAGCCAUGCCGCGUGAGUGAUGAAGGCCUUAGGGUCGUAAAGCUCUUUCGCCUGUGAUGAUAAUGACAGUAGCAGGUAAAGAAACCCCGGCUAACUCCGUGCCAGCAGCCGCGGUAAUACGGAGGGGGUUAGCGUUGUUCGGAAUUACUGGGCGUAAAGCGCACGUAGGCGGAUCAGAAAGUUAGGGGUGAAAUCCCGGGGCUCAACCUCGGAACUGCCUCUAAAACUCCUGGUCUAGAGUUCGAGAGAGGUGAGUGGA